rnacentral:rRNA from 1 species
GUGCCAGCCGCCGCGGUAACACGUAGGGGACGAGCGUUGUCCGGAUUCAUUGGGCGUAAAGCGCGCGUAGGCGGUCGUGCAAGUCGGUUGUGAAAUCCCGGGGCUCAACCCCGGGACUGCGUCCGAUACUGUGCGACUGGAGGCAGGUAGGGGAGAUCGGAAUUCCUGGUGUAGCGGUGAAAUGCGCAGAUAUCAGGAGGAACACCGGUGGCGAAGGCGGAUCUCUGGGCCUUGCCUGACGCUGAGGCGCGAAAGCUAGGGGAGCGAACAGGAUUAGAAACCCCCGUAGUCC